GGCCUCCAGGUGUUUUGGGCUUCAGCUCCCACAGUUACUAACAGCUGGUAACCUGGCUGGAAUUUCUGGGAGUUGGAAGUUCAAAACACCUGGAGGCCAAAAGGUUGGGAACCACUGCAUUAAGGGAUGUAUUUAUGUUCUUGGAACAGCUGGUUUACCAUAGAUAUGCCUAACACAGCUCAGUGCUUUGAUGAUGCUGUUGUUUUUUCAAAACAAUAUCAAUUAAACUUCUGGAAGAAAGAAGUCUGGGUGUUUUCUCCUUAAGCGAAUCCUUGUUUGGCCAUCGAUGGUGGAUUCCGUGGAUAUAGAGGGACAACUGUAAAUAGUACUAACAAGAACUGCAGCUUCAGAACUUCAUUCCAUAAUCUGUGCAUAGUAGCAAUCGCAAGAUAGAUGUCACAGCACCAGCUCAGAAUACCUUCCUACAGGCUCACCAUGAGUUGAAGUUCAAGUAACAGACAGGAAUGGGGCUUGUUUUGCCAAGGAUGGUUCUAUCUCCCUUAUGUGCCAAAAUAACCUGGCUGGUUUUGGGUACUGUGUGUUUUGACUUACCGUAGGGGAACAGCAAGUGAGAGGGCAUUGGUUGUUUCACCUCAAACAGCAAGAUGUCUCAAGUCAGCCUGGAUGUGCGUCUACUUUAGAGGUUCAAAAAUUGCAGCUGUGUCUUCAAUUUGGCUCUUUGUGAUAUUUAUUGUGAAGGCACCAUUCAUCUCAAGAAGCCCUAUUCUGAAUAACUGGGCCAUGAAAGAAUCUAAGCAACUAUCAGCUGGGUGCAAUUAAAAAGGAAUAGGGACCUUUCCCAUAUUUCAAAAGCACUUAAACCAAAAUUAACUGCAAGAACGUCACUUUGUACAUUUUGUUGUGCUUGAAUUCAGUUUUCUGAGUGUGUAUAUUUACAUAAGUAUCUCAUUUCUCAGGUCCAAAUGAUCCUGCAACGGGAAAGGCAAAUGAGCCACCCACUGUGUCAUUAUUUAGAGGAAUAAAAGCAGUGUUUGUGCUAACAUACAGACCAUGAAAGAGAAGAGUUAACAGGCUCCACGUUACCUGAGAUCCUUCAACUAUAGUUCUCUCUUGAUGCUUUCAAAAGGAUUAACCUCUGAUCAUUACAAGAGAAAACACCAAGCUUUGUAUCCCAUGGAGAUUGGAUGCAGCCAAACCUGCAGCUGCAGAUUAGCCAUUCAGUAACUCUACACUCUUGGAAGCAUGGAGUAUCACUUGCACAUUCCUUCUGACAAACUGCUCAUUAUUGUCUAUUCAGGUUCAUGGGCUACUGAAUAUAAUACAGCAUGCUACAAUUAUUUAAUUAAUUUUGUCAUUUUUACAUUUCACCCGAACUUAUUUAUGAGUGGUUUAUCAAAACAUAUGUCUAUUUCCAUCACAUUAAUUUAUAAGCACGGUACAGCUUUUAGUGGAAUCAGUGGCUUUAAACACACUAUUGCCUUACCAAGAGUAAAAUCUGUUAAAAUCAAUGGGUCUUAAGUUACUUAUUGUUGAAAUAACCCAUUUGUUUCAAAAGUAGUGUAACAAUGGAUUUAACCCAUUACGAAUUUGCAUUGACAGAUGCAAUUGUUAAGACACAUGGUAACUAGGAUAUAUCUGUGCAUUAAACCACAUUUUAAAAUU